rnacentral:rRNA from 1 species
CGAACGACUCUCGGCAACGGAUAUCUCGGCUCUCGCAUCGAUGAAGAACGUAGCGAAAUGCGAUACUUGGUGUGAAUUGCAGAAUCCCGUGAACCAUCGAGUUUUUGAACGCAAGUUGCGCCCCAAGCCUCCGGGCCGAGGGCACGCCUGCCUGGGCGUCACGC